UUUUGGUCCUUACGUCCAUGGACUAUAAACGGACGUCCUUUGGACGUCCCAUGUUGGACGUCCUUCGGAAGGAAUAAAUAUGGACGUCCUUUGGACGUCCGACGUUGGACGUCCUUCGGACGGAAUAAAUAUGGACAUCCUUUGGACGUCCGACGUUGAACGUCCUUUGGACGUCCAUACUGGACGAAAUACGGACGUUUUAUGAACGCUUAUAUAAUAUAUUGGACACAUUAUACCAAUUACGGGAUCAAAUAGCAAAAUAAUUCAAUAAAAUAUUAACUUACGCGUUAACUUUACGUUAAUGAAAUACAGUCAAACCUGUCAGUAACGGCCACUAAAAUGAAAGAACUAUUGGCCGAUAUAGAAAGGUGGCCGUUAUUGCCAGUUUUUGUAGUCUAGAUAUACAGUAAAACUUGUGUUACUGGCCACCUGAUAAAAUCGGCCACCUGUACUAACGGCCGGUUUAAAUAUUCCCCAAACCAAUUAUAUCUGGACUACAAAAACUGGCAAUACCGGUCACCUUUCUAUAUCGGCCAAUAGCUUUUUCAUUUUUAGUGGCCGUUACUGACAGGUUUUACUGUAAUUGGUUUGGGGAAUUUUUAAACUGACCGUUAGUACAGGUGGCCGGUGUUUGCAGGGGGCCGGUAACACAGGUUUUACUGUAGUUUAAAUCGAAAAGAUUAAAUCUUAAUUCAAAAUUGUAUAUACAAUUAUUACAAUUAUAAACAAACUAUAUAGUUUAAUAUCCAAAACAUGUUUUUGAUUUUAUGUAAUGUAAUGAAAAUCUUAUUUGUAAAUUAUUGGUUACAAUGUUUAACAAUAGGAAAUAUUCAAGAAUAAAUAAAAUAAAAGUUUAAUCCUAACAACACAAAACAUUCCAGGAAUAUAGGUACUACCGUUCUAUUCCGUGAACAUCUAUCUGAUUAAAUUAUGGGUGGAAAGUUACCACAAGAUAUUCUAUGAACAUAGUACAAUGUCUUCCUGGAGGGGUAAAAUUUUCCAUUACAAGAUUUUAAGAGAGGCCAUUCGCCAUUUACUGUUCAAUUUGCGUUCAUUUUCAAAUUUGCCGCGCGAGUAUCUAUGUAGCGUCGCGUGGUCAUUGGUCAUCACAUUUCAUUUUCAUCAUAGAAGAGUUUUUCAUAAGAUAACCGAUAACCUAAAAAUUUAGUAAAAAUUUUGAUUGGAAAAAAAUGCAUCGAUAAGGGGGUGUGGGAAAUGGAAAUUAGUGGCUUUUCUGCUGUACUGUCUGCUAGUCAAAUCACACAACACUUUUUUCUAUGCUGCUAGUUUUUGCUCUGGGCUCUGGCUGGAUCUCUUGUUUAAACAAUUUUAAUCAGCUGAAAGUGGCCUACAAAAAAAAAAAACAAGAAGGAAAUGUAUAGCCUUGUGGCUAUGAAAGGCAAAAGAGAGAUAUAAAAAGUGUAUUGGCUAGUUGGAAGAAAGUCCACAUUGUCCAUGCAUAAUAAGUUAUUACUUUAUCAACAAAUAUCAAGAAGAUAGCAGGGUCACGAGCAACAACUUCAUAAGUUCAAGAAUAUCGAGGAAAUCCAGCUCCUCGAUACUACUGGGCAAACUAGAAGAUUGAAGAGGACAAAGCCUUUUGAACUAGUUUGAGUGAUAGGUGAUAGUGAAAAACGGAGCAUAGUGCUUGUGUGCUGUGCCUGUGUAUGUUAGAAUAGUGCACGAUCUUGUUAGAUUAGAUAAGAGACGCUAUGGGGUAAGCUCUUCAUUUUAAGAAACAGUAGUAAUUUAGGUUAAAUUAAAAUUGCUCAUUGGUCAGUUAUGACCAGAUUGUUUUUUUAUGUUUGGCAAAAAGGACUUAAGUCAGAAUUGCACAUUGAUAAUGUUUUGAUGAUUUCUGGACCAGAAAAAAACUGUUGUAGAUGUAAACUGUAUGUACAGUAGAAUCUACUACAGUACUGUAGAAAUCAUCAAAACAUUAUCGAUGUGCAAUUCUGACUUAAGCCCUUUUUCCCAAACAUCAGAGAAUUGUAAUGUACAAUAAUUCUCCUAUCUGCUUUUUCAUGAAUUUUGUAGGAGAUGAAAAACCAUUUUUAGGAUCAUCUGCUUUCACAUGUAAAUUUUGACAUGUUUUGUAGUAAAUAGAUAGUUGAAUUUACUACAAAACAUGUCAAAAAAUAUAUGAAAACAGGAGGUGACUAUAAAAAAAGUUUUUAGUCUCUCUUACAAAACUCAUGAAAAAACAAAUCGGAGGUAUGUCACAUCAGUGACUAUAUCCAGGGAAUGUCCAAAUAUAACCUACAGUCCAUCUAAUUUACUUACUGUUGCAGGUCAUUAUCUACGCCAGAGAUCUAAGUUGACAUAGUUGCCAAAGUAUAAAAAGAUCCUGAAUCCAUUUUAAAUCAAAUAUAUCACAUAAUUAUUGUAAACGUGGAUUAUACAACAAAACAAAUUAAUAUUCAAUGUAAAUAAGUAAAAACUUAAGAAAUAGAGAACAAGAAUUAAGUUAUAAUCUUUUAAGAUUUGCAGUGCAAGAGUUUUUGCACUGCAUUGUUAAUAAUUAAAAAACGGCUCCGAACUCUUGGCAAAAAGCUGGUAGGUUUCUUUGUAUAAGUUUGUCUACAAUAACAACUAAAAAAGUUGUCAGAUACCUCGAUUAUUUCAAGUCGUUAUAAAAUUAGGUGAAAUUUAUAUUUUUAUAGUAGAGGAUCUUUUUAUAGUAAAGUAAAUAAUAAAAACAGUAAAUAUAAUAAAUAAAACAGAUACUUAUAGUAAAGAAUAUAAACAAAUAUGAAGUGUCAUCACCGUAACUGUCAAAUAAAUGUUACCAAUUUAUUCUAAAAUGUCACCUUCGUUCGAUUACAGUUACAGUGUGAUCCGAACAAAUCUGCUUCAUAAAAACGCUUUAUAAUCCAUUUAUACAAAUUAAAUGAAACAUAUUAUUGUGUAUUUCUUUAGGUUAACAUUAAUAGAAAUCUUCAAAUAUUAUUUCUACGCGUAUAUAAUAAAAUAUGUCUAGUGGCUGUAAUUCCAUUGUACUCGGCAAAGUGAUUCUAAAAAAGAACACACCUACCGCCUAAAUAUUUCAGUUAAAAUAAAUAACAGUUAGUAAAUUAGACGAAGUAUGUAGAUAUAUACAGGGUGUAACAAAAAUACAGGUCAUAAAUUUAAUCACAUAUUCUGGGACCAAAAAUAGUUUGAUUGGACCUAACUUACCUUAGUACAAAUGUGCACACAAGAAAAGUUACAGCCCUUUGAAGUUAUAUAUAUAUAUAUAUAUAUAUAUAUAUAUAUAUAUAUAUAUAUAUAUAUAUAUAUAUAUAUAUAUAAUAGCACUAAGGGCCUUAGAGGCCCAUGGCUUGAAAAGUUUGUUUUUUUCUUCAUUUUCACGUUUCUUUAUGUACUGAGAUCUUCUCUGGCUUGAUAUGUGAUUUUUCUCCAUUCCUUCCUGUUAUUCAUUUUUCUUUUCUGACCCUGUAGCACCAUUCUUUCCAAAUCUUUUUCGACCUCUUGCUUCCAUCUAUUUUUCGGCCUUCCUCUUCUCUUUCUUGAAGCUGUAGUGUAGUUUAGUACCAUUUUUGGAGUCCUCGUGUUUGGCAUCCUUUCAAUGUGACCUCGCCAUCUAAGUCUCUGUGCCUUUAUCACUCAUUUGAAGUUACAAGAUGAAGUGAUUUUUUCCAAUAUAUCGAAAACUAUUAGAGAUUUUUUAUUGAAAAUGGACAUGUGGCAUUAUUAUGGCAACAGUAUCUUACGAAAAAACUAUAGUAAAAUUUGGACACCCCAUAAAAAUAUUUCGGGGGUUUGUUCCUUUAAACCCCCCCAAACUUUUGUGCACGUUUCAAUUUAAUUAUUAUUGUAGUACCAUUUAAACACGUUUUAAAAACUUUUUUGCCUCUUAUUGCUUUUUCGAAAAGUCAAUUUUUAUCGAAAUAUUUUGAAUAUUUGUCAAAUCCACCACAUAUUUGUAUAUGGUUAAGUACGAUUAUGGAGACUUGGUAAUAAUAUGCAGACAUAUUUAUGCUUUACAUUUUUAGGUAUAUUUUGAACCAUAUUAAAAAAGAAGCCAGAUCUCGAUAAAAUGUGCCUUAUCGAAAAAAUACAAAGAGGCAAAAAAGUUUUAAAAACAUUCUGUUUAACUAAUGGUACCUCAGUAAUAGUUUAAUUGGAACGUACACAAACAUUUGGGGGGUUUAAAGGAACAAAACCCCCAUAAAAUUUUUAUGUAGACAUGUUAAAAAAGAAGUCGCAACUCGAUAAAAACUGCCUUAUCUGAAAAAUACUAAGAAACAAAAAUAUUGAAUUUAACUAAUGGUACCACAAUAAUAAAAUUGAAUUGGAACGUACACAAAAGUUUGGGAGGAUCUAAGGGAUCAAGACCCCCAUAAAAUUUUUAUGGGGUGAACAAAUUUCACCAUAAUUUUUCUUUAAGAUAUUCCUGCCAUAAUACUGCCACAUGUCCAUUUUCAAUAAAAAAUCGCUAAUAGUUUUCGAUAUAAUCGAAAAAAUCGAUUUUCAUUUUGUAAUUUCAAAGGGCUGUAACUUUUUUUAUGUGCAUAUUUGUACUAAGGUAAGUUAGGUUCAUUCGAACUAUUUUUGGUCCCAGAAUAUGUGAUUUAAUUUAUGACGUGUAUUUUUGUUACACCCUGUAUAUACAACCGAUUACGCACCACCUUAAAAAUUGGGCAUUUUUGAUGUCUCGAAUUUCCUAAACCUGUUGUUGCAUCUAAGUGAUUUUUUUAUAAUAUUCUAGCCUAGGCCCUAGGCUAUAGGUUAAGUACCUCCUUACGCUUGUCAUGCACGGGGAGCUAUACUGUAAUAUAUAUUAUAUCACAUCGCACUCUAUAGUAAUGAGUGAGCCUGCACAUACGGAACCAUUUGUUUCCUGUCUGCAGGCUCACUCAUUACUAUAGAGAGCGAUAUGAUAUAAUGUACAUAUAUUACAGCAUAGCUGCCUGUGCAUGACAAGCUUAAGGAGGUAACCUAUAGCCUAGGCUAUAAUAUUAUAAAAAAAUCACUUAGAUGAAACAACAGGUUUAGGAAAUAUGAGACAUCAAAAAUACCCCAUAUUUAAGGUGGUGCGUUAAUUUCUUGGAGAAGUGUAUUGUAAUUUAAUGUAAAUAAUGUAAUAUCCAAUAAUUGUAAUUUAAUAUAAGAUGUAAUAUAAGUUCCUUAAAAAAUAUAUUUUUUAUUUCCCACGACAUUAGAUGGAUGUUCGGCAGCAAGACAUUGGACCAAACUGGGACGUCCUACGAAGGCCAAUUGACGUCCACCGAACGUCCCUUCGGAUGUUAAGUGGACCUCCAUUGGGCGUUUGGCAACGUGGCAUUUGGACCAAAAUUGGACGUCCUGUUAAGGUCCAAUUCACGUCCCCUAGAACAUCCGGUUAAGGUCCAAUUUACUUCCGAUUAAGGUCCAAUUUACGUCCGAUUAAGGUCCCAUUUACGUCCGAUUAAGGUCCAAUUUACGUCCUAUUAAGGUCCAAUUUACGUCCGAUAAGGUCCAAUUUACGUCCGAUUAAGGUCCAAUUUACGUCCGAUUAAGGUCCCAUUUACGUCCGAUUAAGGUCCAAUUUACGUCCUAUUAAGGUCCAAUUUACGUCCUAUAAGGUCCAAUUUACGUCCGAUUAAGGUCCAAUUUACGUCCGAUUAAGGUCCAGUUUAUGUCCGAUUAAGGUCCAAUUUACGUCCGAUUAAGGUCCAAUUUACGUCCGAUUAAGGUCCAAUUUACGUCCGAUUAAGGUCCAAUUUACGUCCGAUUAAGGUCCAAUUUACGUCCCCUAGGACGUCCGAUCAACGUCCAAAUUACGUCCGAUUAAGGUCCAAUAUACGUCCCCUCGGACCUUAGAUGGACGUCCAAUGGACGUUCGGUAGCGCGACAUUUGGACCAAAAUAGGACGUAUAAAGGACGUUCCUCGGACGAAAACGGACGUCCAAUGGACGUCCCUAAAGUCCGUGAAGUACGUCCAAUGGACGUCCAUUGGACGUCCUUGU